rnacentral:rRNA from 1 species
GGAGUAAUUUUAAACGGCCGSGGAAUUUUAACCGUGCUAAGGUAGCAUAAUCAUUUGUCUUUUAAUUAAAGACUUGUAUGAAUGGUUUAAUGAAAUAAAGCUAUCUCUAAAAUAUUAAAUAAAAAUUAUUUUUAAAGUGAAAAAUCUUUAAUAAAAUAAAAAGACAAAAAGACCCUAUAGAGUUUAAUUUAUCUGUAUAGACACAUAUAUAUAUAAAUUUAGUUGGGGCAACUAAUGAAAAAAAAAAUUUCUUUUUAAAAAAAAAAAUAAAAUCAUUAAUUUAAUACUAUAAAACAAAUUACCUUAGGGGUAACAGCGUAAUUUUUUUUAA